GGAGUAGUGGGGAAUUUCUCCAUCAAGUUCUCUCAGACCCAUGGCUGUUGGUGGGAGGCCUCAGCUCCCGUCACUGUGAUUCUCCACAUAGCAGCUCAAGUGACCUCACAACACAGCGCUGGUCUCCCCCAGAGCAAAUGACCCAAGGGGCCAGAAUUAUGCAGGAUGAGACAAAGCUAGAGAAAUUGUACUCUUCAAGAGGAAAAGAGAUGGCCCUGCCAGCAGAACCAAGUGAAAUCAACUCUCACCUCAAAUGUUAAACAGUCAAAAGCAUGCGUGGUGUGUUGUGAUGGAGACCUGGACCAGCCACUGCUGACUUGUUUAACUAAACAAAACUUUCCCCUUUGUUCCACUGGCAGCUCAAGUCAGAAC
ensembl:lncRNA